GUUAGCAAUAUUUACCACAGUACAACUGAAUAAUUUCCACGGAGUAUGGGAAUCCGGUCAAAUACCGGAACGGCCCCUGCCACCGUAAUCGGGACGAACCCGCAUCAAGCCAUUGCCGAAAGGCGAGAAGGCGCGGGAUAAGCAGAUAGCCAGAUCCGCCGCUUUAGCGGAUCUGUGCGGAUUGCUUAUACGGAGCAAAGUUUUACGCUCCGCAGAGGAUGAACGAAAGUCGGGAAACCUGCCGAGGAGAGAUUAUGGCU
rnacentral:ncRNA from 2 species